CCGGCUCCGGUUCACGUCCUGUCCCAUGACACCACCGCAUCACGGGUGGCGUCCGGGAGUUCCUCAGGGCGACCCGGCGGCC
rnacentral:ncRNA from 1 species